rnacentral:lncRNA from 1 species
GAGUGGUGGGAGCAGCGCUCGUCCGCCGUUGGGGACCCCAGCCCGCGCGCGCGAAGCAGCUGGCCGACCGAGCCCCGGAAGGCGAGUGCCGGAGGGGGCGGGACAGCUCCUCCAGGGCCAGCGGGCACCAGGCUUGGGGGCUGAGGCCCAGCGGCCCGAGACCAACUGGGCGGACUGAGGCCGCCUCCCCGCCAGCCAUGGGGUCCACUGCCCCGGGGAGCAUCUCCCUUCCGAAGUCAGACUCGGGCUUCAUCCUCUCUUGCCGCGCGCCGAGCGGUUUUCAACUCUCACUGCUAGGAUUCCUCCAACCACCCAGGAUAGCAGGACCGAGAUACAGGCGGUGGUGAUUGGCUUCGGUUGUCAUCUGUGCCAUCUGUCCAUGGUUCGAAAAGCUGCUGUUCACGUUUUGGGGGAGGAUCAUGGUUUGAGGGCUCCCGUGGUAGAAUUUGGGGAGCUCUCAUAGGCAGAAGGCUGAGAAAAGUUGGUGCUGUGGGAAGUCAGCUGGCAGCCGAUGGAGUCAGGACCCGGGAGGAAGGGAAAGGGAACCCAGAUAGGAAGCUACUGGAGUAGGCUCAGAGAGGUGAUGACGGCGGGGCUAAGACAGCGGCCUUGGGCGGUGACUGGGAAGAACAUUGAACACCAUGUUUGGGCUGAAGAAAAGAGCAAGGGAAGAGUCCCAGCUGCUCUGGAGGUUGAGGCAGGAGGAUGGCUUGAACCCAAGAGGUGGAGGCUGAAGGGAGCCAAGAUCGCGCCACUGCACUCCAGCCUGGGCGACAGGGCAAAACCCUGUCUCUAAAAAGAACUUUUUAAAAAAGCACCUGUAGAUUUGAGCACAUAAUAACUACACUUUUGUCUGUUUUAUUAUGAUAUCAAAGUUAAAUUUAUGAUGAAUGACUGGACAAAACUGAGAGCAACCACCACAGAGGUGAAUAUACUGAAUGUAUAACGCUCUCUAAUAAUUUUAAGAAGUCCACUCUAAUGAGCAGAUAUCACAGAAAGAAACUUCUCAGAUGAAAUACCGAUGACCAGGAAAUCUGUGAGACCAUUUUAAAAAAUUCGAAGUCAUUGAAGAAAUGCAAAGCUUCCAGGCUCCACUUUUCACUCAUGAAAUUGGCAGAGUUCGGGACAAUGAGAUGUUGCUGUCCCGGGAGUGCGGAUGGGGCUGUGUCCUGCGCUGGUGGUGGGCACUGGCACUCUUGUCCAGAAAGACAUUCGCCACUGUGGUUUAAGAAGCAUCUCAAAGGUCUUCACCUUGGUCCCUUGUCCACCUCUGCCCGCGGUCUCUCCUCCUUUCAGCCUCCUCUUUCCCACACAGUCCCUCCUGCCCAGGCUUGGUCCCCUUUCUUCUGACGGGGUCAGGCAUGUGGGUGACUCUUUGACUUCCAAGGCUCUGUCUACCUGGCCUUUUUCUUUCACCUGUUCUGCGGAAUAACAGCCUGUUUCGUUCCUCUUUUUGGGUCCUUCACUUCCAUACCUGGGAUUCGGGGCGUGGCCCAGAAAGACCCUGCAGUCAUGCGGUGUGGGGCUGCCAGCAUUUCAUGGCCUCCAAGCUCAGCUGGGCUGAAUGAAUGCUACUGUCCAGCGCUUGGCUCAGUUUUCUGUCCCGUUUUCCUGAGUGCUUUUGCCAGACUUUCACUUUUCUGAAACCUACUCCACCCUACCCCAGACACACCCUCUCUCCUCGGAUGACCUGACUCCUAAUUUCCUGAGAAAACUGGACAUGGCCACCUUUCCCCAGUGUCUAAGCCCAGGUUGACCCGUGGUCAUGGUCGCUGUGACCACCCACCUGCCUGUAUGACAGAGUGAGACCCUGUCAUA